rnacentral:rRNA from 1 species
UACGAAGGGGGCUAGCGUUGCUCGGAAUCACUGGGCGUAAAGCGCACGUAGGCGGAUUGUUAAGUCAGGGGUGAAAUCCUGGAGCUCAACUCCAGAACUGCCUUUGAUACUGGCGAUCUUGAGUCCGGGAGAGGUGAGUGGAACUGCGAGUGUAGAGGUGAAAUUCGUAGAUAUUCGCAAGAACACCAGUGGCGAAGGCGGCUCACUGGCCCGGUACUGACGCUGAGGUGCAAAAGCGUGGGGAGCGAACAGG